AUUGAACGCUGGCGGCAUGCCUUACACAUGCAAGUCGAACGGCAGCACGGGUGCUUGCACCUGGUGGCGAGUGGCGAACGGGUGAGUAAUACAUCGGAACAUGUCCUGUAGUGGGGGAUAGCCCGGCGAAAGCCGGAUUAAUACCGCAUACGAUCUACGGAUGAAAGCGGGGGACCUUCGGGCCUCGCGCUUUGGGGUUGGCCGAUGGCUGAUUAGCUAGUUGGUGGGGUAAAGGCAUACCAAGGCGACGAUCAGUAGCUGGUCUGAGAGGACGACCAGCCACACUGGAACUGAGACACGGCCCAGACUCCUACGGGAGGCAGCAGUGGGGAAUUUUGGACAAUGGGCGAAAGCCUGAUCCAGCAAUGCCGCGUGUGUGAAGAAGGCCUUCGGGUUGUAAAGCACUUUUGUCCGGAAAGAAAUCCUUGGCCCUAAUACGGUCGGGGGAUGACGGUACCGGAAGAAUAAGCACCGGCUAACUACGUG
rnacentral:rRNA from 1 species